CAGGACGAACGCUGGCGGCGUGCCUAAUACAUGCAAGUCGAACGGUCUUUCUAUGGAAGCUUGCUCCACUGAGAAGAUAGUGGCGAACGGGUGAGUAACACGUGGGUAACCUGCCCAUAAGAGGGGGAUAACAUCCGGAAACGGGUGCUAAUACCGCAUAGUUUUCUUGAUCGCAUGAUUGAGAAAGGAAAGACGGCCUUUGUGCUGUCGCUUAUGGAUGGACCCGCGGCGUAUUAGUUAGUUGGUGAGGUAACGGCUCACCAAGACGAUGAUACGUAGCCGACCUGAGAGGGUGAUCGGCCACAUUGGGACUGAGACACGGCCCAAACUCCUACGGGAGGCAGCAGUAGGGAAUCUUCCGCAAUGGACGAAAGUCUGACGGAGCAACGCCGCGUGAGUGAAAGAAGGUUUUCGGAUCGUAAAACUCUGUUGUCAGAGAAGAACAAGUUGGAGAGUAACUGCUCCAGCCUUGACGGUAUCUGACCAGAAAGCCACGGCUAACUACGUGCCAGCCGCCGC
rnacentral:rRNA from 1 species